AAAAUAUAGUAUUGCAUCUUAUCAAUUUAGUUGAGAAGAAUGAAGUUCUCAAGUUUCUUUGGUGUUUUCAUUAUACUUUUAGUGAUUUUGGACUUUGCUUCUGCAAGAAAAGACCUCCAAGACUACUCGAAAGUGAUAAGAAAUGAAGAUGUCAUACCUGAAGCAAUCAAAGAUUUUCGCCGUCAAGAUUCAACAUUUCAAUCUCAAAAGAAAGAUUUCCAAAAAGACUUUGAUAUUACUCCACAAGAAUUCAAAACCCACAACCAAGAUCAUUUGAACAAAGACUUUGAAACUUCUCCACAAAAAUUCAAGACCCACAACAACGAUUAUUUCAACAAAGACUUUGAAACUUCUCCACAGAAAUUCAAGACCCACAACCAAGAUCAUUUCAACAAAGAUUUUGAAACUUCUCCACAAAAAUUCAAGACCCACAACCAAGUUCAUUUCAACAAAGACUUUGAAACUUCUCCACAAAAAUUCAAGACCCACAACAACGAUCAUUUCAACAAAGACUUUGAAACUUCUCCACAAAAAUUCAAGACCCACAACAACGAUCAUUUCAACAAAGACUUUGAAACUUCUACACAAAAAUUCAAGACCCACAACAACGAUCAUUUCAACAAAGAUUUUGAAACUUCUCUACAAAAAUUCAAGACCCACAACCAAGAUCAUUUCAACACAGACUUUGAAACUUCUCCACAAAAAUUCAAGACCCACAACAACGAUCAGUUCAACAAAGACUUUGAAACUUCUCGACAACAAUUCAAGACCCACAACAACGAUCAUUUCAACAAAGAUUUUGAAACUUUUCGACAAAAAUUCAAGACCCACAACAACGAUCAUUUCAACAAAGACUUCGAAAUUGCGCCGCAAAAAUUCAAGACACAUAACAAUGAUCAUUCUGAUUAAGAUUUUGGAAAAGCACCUUGAAUGUUCUUUUUCAAAAGUAAGGUGCAUGGAUGUAUGAAAUGGACACAUGGACAACCUGCAAUAAUAAUGUAUCCCUACAUACCAGAAUCUUUCUGUAAGAUUGAUGUCUUGGCAUGUAGUUGUUAUUAUUUCUAAAUAAAUAAAGGUCCAAUUAUUAAGGAAAA